rnacentral:lncRNA from 1 species
UUUUCUUUUUCUAUUUGAAAAAAAUAAUAAUAACAUUAAAAAAACUAUGCAUUUUUACAUUUAUAUAAAAGUAUUUCAGAGCAGUUUCUGGGGGCUAAGUCAACAAUUAUGUUUUAGAUCACAAGUCAAAAUUAAGUCACACUUCAUGUCAGUAUGAUAAUGCUUUGAAUAAGAUUGAUUAAAAUGAUACUCUGAAAGAGAUUGUUUGAAGGCAGCAACCAUUUGUUUUCAGGGAGGGGGGAACUAUGGAUUUUUUUCCAGACAAGUUAAAAACAAUUCUUCUCUUUCAAUUUUAGCAUUUCAUUUAAUGGCAGCUGAGGGUAAAACAAACAUUUUUUUUUUCUCAGGGUCAAAAACAAAUUAUUUUUUAUCCAAAAAUUGGAAACAAACUUUUUUUUUCAAAACAAUCAAUAGCCACCACCCCCUACCCCCACCAGAAAAUCAAAUGGUUG